UUUAAUUCGGAUUACAGGAGUGACUAUGAAGAUUUUGUUCAGAGACCUUGCAAGGCAAACAGUUCAACAUUUUGCUUCUAGAGUCGACACUUAUAUGUCAUCGAUCGUACAGGCAUAUGAUGCUCAUUGGCCGGUUAUUCAAGCAAACGCGAUACACUUGUCCAGCUGCAUCCUUACUUUCUCGGAUGAUCACGUAUUUUCAAUUAUUUACUAUGCUCAGUUAUUGAGUCUUUUUUUAAAAGUGUUUUUUUUUGUCACAAUGAAAUGAAUUGAUAGUUGUAUGCAUUUGAUAUGAGAUUGAAUUAGAUAAAACUUUUAGG